GAUUUAUAUUUAAUUUAAAAAAUUUUUUUUCUUCAAUAGUUCCUAAAUAAAAAAUUAUUUCUUAUUUUCAAAAUCAAAAAUGAUAGUUCCUAAAUAUCUAUUUUAAUAGUAAUAAAGUACUUCAAUGGCAAAAGUUCGUAAGUCCAUAUUCUAAAUUAUAUCAAUCUUUAAAUUAAUUUUAUGAAGAAUUAAUAUUAAUAGUACAAUAUGAAUAUUAUAACAGAGGAUGAUAAAUUUGUCCCAUUACAUUUUGUAUUUUGUAAUUUUUAUGGUGAAGAUACAUGUUUUUGUUGGAACGAUGAUAAAUUUGUUAUGUUUCCAUACAUACAAGAAAAAUAUACAUCUUUGCUGCCAGUUUUGAUUGCACCGAGGCAAAUAAAAACUAUACAAUGUUUUUCCAAUAGAGUUUUCUUUACAUGUUUACCCCAUGGUGUAUAUAAACUUUCAAGAGAUAGAAGAUUCAGUGUAUUAAGUAAAAGUGCUAUAAGUGUUGGUUCCAUAUUUUUUGAGAUACUUAAGACAAAGGAUGAUCACUUAUAUUUGGAAAAUAAACAGAACAAAUCGAGUAAGAUAUUACUCCAUUUGCCACUCAUGUCAAAACAACUAGAAGAAUUAUGUACUUUUCCUUUGAACAUGGAAAAUUCAGAACAUGAAUUUAGAAACAUAUUACUAGAUGAAAUUGAUAUGGUAGAUAAUUUAUGUUUGAUUGGUAAUGGUAAAAAGUUAUUUACUUUAACAAAAGAAGUAAUUCAUUUAAUUCAUAGUUUUGAUAAUAAAAUAAUAAACAUUGUACCUAUACAAAAUGACAAAAAGAUUAAUGGAUUAGUACUUAUAACAAAUACAGAUGCAAUUAUCAUUGUGCAUUCAAAAAAUAAUAUAUUACGCUAUAAAAAACUUUAUCUAGGAGUAAAUGUUAAAACCCUUUGCGCAGGACUUAAUCAUCAAUGUAGCGAUAAAAUAUGGAUUGUUUAUUCCGAUGAAUCCAAAUUGUAUUACAUGAUAAUGACACUUUCUACCGAAAUAUAUAAGAAAGUAAAAAUAGAAGAAAAAAAUUUUAUUUGCCUGCAAUAUUAUGAAAAAGAUAAAUUUGUAGGUCUAACUAAAACAAAAGAACUUCAUGAAUUAUCCAUUAAUACAAUAGAAAAUUGUGUAAAUGAAGAAAUUUCCAAAGAUGAUUUUAUAAAUCUUCAUAAAGAUAUGUUAAAAGGUACAGAUUUAAUUGUUGAACAAAUCUAUGAAAGAGCAAAAGAAUUAGAAUUGUGGAAUAAAAUACUUCUUACUGAAGAAGAUAAACUUUAUAGAAUAAAUCUUUAUGCUUGCAGAAAGAAAAUACAAAUGUAUCCUAAAAUGACAGUAUAUAGAAUAGCAAAACAAUUAUUUCUUAAUAUAGAUUUUCAAGAAAAUUUACCAAAAAAUGUUUAUAUUGUUUGUUUCUUAGUAUCCAAUCAUGAAACAACUUUCUCUAUCAAAGAAAUAGUAAAUAAUGAAACUUCAAUCGAUUUACCUAUAGUAACAAAAAAAUUAUUUAAUUCUUUACAAAUCAGAAUGGAUUUAGUAACAAUCAUAAACGUAGAACAACCAUGGUUUCUUAUAAAAGAUUUUGUAACAGAUCCAGUUAUAGAGAAGAAAAAGAAACAAAAAGAAAUGCAAAUUAAGAGAGAUAAAACAAAUUUUAUAAAUGCUAAAAUAAAUCUUAUAAGGAAUUUAAUGUUGACAAAAAACUUAACUAUGAAGAAAUUAUCAGAGAUGAAAAAGAAGAUAAGAAAAGAAAUAUGUGACUUUUAAUUUAAUAAUGUAAGCAAUCAUUUCAUAACAUAAAAUGUCUUAUGUUAUUACUAUCACAAUUUUUUAAAAAAGUUUAUAAAAUCGUUUAUGUAAUUAAGAACUGGGCAUUUCUAUUAUACUUCCAAUACUGCAACUGGAACUCUUUGGUUGUUUCACAGAAUUUCUAAAACUAUUUUGUAUUCUGGGACCACCAAGUCGAUCUUGAAGUGUAUCUAAUGAUUUAGCACUUUUCUUCGAACCAUUAGCACUACGAUCUUCUUGUUCAUCGUUUUUAUUGGAACGACGUUGUAGAAUUUUGGUAACACAGACUUUAAAGUUUUCUGAGAAUAUACCAUAAAGAAUAGGAUUGACCACUGUAUUCAAUUGAGCUGUAAUAAGUGCCCAAAUGAAAUGAUGCGAUCUCAUGAAAAAAUCAGUUUGUUUAGGUGGUCUCUGAGCAUCAAUGAAAAGCAAGAGAGCGAUGAUCGUUAUUGGCAACCACAUGACUAAAACGGCAACUACGUUUAAUAAUAAAAUCCGCAUGACACGUAUAUGCUUGUGAAGACGGACUUCCUCGUGUUGUGACAUACUACCAGUUCUACCAGUACGUUCUAUAACUGAUGAUGUAGAUAAUUUUCUUCCAACCCAUGGUAUUAAUGAUCCUACCACCGAUAAUUCCGAAUCUCUUCUGUUUCCUUUACCAGUUGUUAAGUCCUAUAAGAUAUAAAAUUUAUCAAAUUAAAUUAAAAAGAUUUAGCAA